UACGUAGGGGGCAAGCGUUGUCCGGAUUUAUUGGGCGUAAAGAGCGUGUAGGCGGCUAGGUAGGUCCGUUGUGAAAACUCGAGGCUCAACCUCGAGCUGUCGAUGGAAACCAUCUGGCUAGAGCCCGGAAGAGGAGAGUGGAAUUCCUGGUGUAGCGGUGAAAUGCGCAGAUAUCAGGAAGAACACCCGUGGCGAAGGCGGCUCUCUGGUACGUGACUGACGCUGAGACGCGAAAGCGUGGGGAGCGAACAGG
rnacentral:rRNA from 1 species